GAGACCUUAUCCUUGAAGAAGACUGGGUCUCUCUACCUCUGAACAGUCCUUUAUUGUCUGUGACUCUUCAUCUAGGGGUGAGACCUUUUGAAAUUUCUCCCACUCAUGUUGGCAUGUAGACUAGUAUGGUCAUUAUGAAUGCCUUGUUUAGGCAACUAUAUUGUUGAGAUUUCAUGUAUGUAUUAUCCCCAUCAUAUCUAGAAGACACUGUCAUGAAGUGAAUAUUCUAGACUUCUGACAAUCAACAACCUUUGUGUUCCUUCUUCCAUGUUCCCUGAGCCUUAGUAUAGGUGUUGUGAUUUAGAUGUAUCAGUUGGGAUUGGGAUCCUUGCCAUUGUCUAUGGUGGAUCUCUGUAGUAGAAGAUGGCCACUUGAUAACAUCACCUUUAUAAGUUUUCUUUUCUUUUUUAAAACUUGAUUUGCUAGGAAUAAGACAGACUAUACAUAUAAUUUUGGAUAUUUCUUCUGAUUAUUUCUUUUGGAUAUGUGUGUGGAAAUACAGUUUGUUAGUCAUAAAAUAUGCAGAUUUCAUGUGAGAUUGUGUCUACUGGAAAUGACAGGGAAGCUUCAUUCAUGAUAAAUCAACAAUAAGGCUCUGUAAACAAGACUUGAAACAGUAAACCACCAAUAGACAGGACAAUACAGAAUGGUGUGAUUUCACCAGGCCUACCUCUAAGCAAAGAACUACAGGGAACAAGAAAAACUGGAAGGGGGAGAAGUAGUCUUCUCCUACAGAUAAUAUCGUUAAUUCUAUCCGAUGUCACAUGGUCAGUCCUGAUGUCAUAAACAUGUACAAGCAACAUUGAAUGGAUUAAGAGGGAUGCAUUUAUAUAUUUAUACACAUAUGGAAAAGGCAUUUAUAUAUUUAUACAUACAUGGAAAAGGCAUGAAUUAGAGAGGGGCAAGGCAGGGCAUUGAAAGGGUUGAGGAAUGAUAUGGAAGGGAGAAAUGAAGUAAUUUUGUUUUAAUUUAAAAACAUUUAAAUAUGUGCAUUUAGUAUUAGUUAGUUCUGACACUUAUACAAAAUACUUUUUCUAAUUUUCUGCUUCCACCAGAAAUAUAUGAAGUUUUUAUUCAUUCUACAAACUUCUAUGAAUUGGUAUUUUCAGCUCUUUUAAAAAUCCCAAUGCAGAGGAUGAAGAAAUGGACCAUAAAAUUAUCUUAUGAAGAUGAUAGAGACCAUUAAAGCAGAAACAAGAAAAUCCCUUAAAGAAAUAGAAGAAAAAAACAAGCAAAAAUUACAUGAAAUGGAGGAAACAACAAAACAAAAAAUUCAAGAAAAAAGCGAAUCUCUUAAAGAAUCUAAAGAAAGUCAAGAAAAAAAACAACCAAACAAGUAAAGGAAAAAAAUUAAACAGUUCAUGGCUUGAAAGAAGAAUUAGAAACAAUAAGGAAAACACAGAAUGAGGGGAUACUGGAAAUAGAAAAGCUGGGUAAAUGGUCAGGAACCACUGAUGUAAGUAUAACCAAUAUAAUCCAAGAGAUGGAAGAGAGAAUCUCAGGUGUUGAAGCCUCUCUAGAGGAUAUACUGUCAUCGACCAAAGAAAAUCUCAAGUCCAACAAAUCCCUAACACAAACUAUCCAGUAAAUAAGGGACACCAUGAAAACACCAAAUCUAAGAAUAAUAGGUAUAGAAAAAGGUGAAGAAAUUCAGCUCCAAGGUACAGAAAACAUAAUCAACAAAAUCAUAGAAAAAAAACUUCCCCAACCUAAGAAAGGAUAUGUCUAUGAAAGUAUAAGAAGCUUACAGAACACCAAAUAGAUUGUACCACAAAAGAAGUCCCCUUGCUGCAUAAUAAUUGAAACACCAAACUUACAGAAUAAAGAAAAAAAUAUUAAGAGCAGCAAAAGAAAAAGGCCAAGUAACGUAUAAAGGCAGACCUAUCUGAAUUAUACCCAACGUCUCAAUAGAAACUUUGAAAGACAGAAGGUCCUGGAUAGAUGUUCUACAAACUCUAAGGGAACAUGGAUACCAGCCCAGACAACUGUAUCCAGCAAAGCUUUCAAUCACUAUAUAUAGAGAAAACAAGAUAUUCCAUGACAAAACCAGAUUUAAGCAAUACAUAUCCACAAAUCCAGCCCUACAGAAAUUAUUGGAAGGAAAACUCAAACCCAAUGAAGAUAACUGUGCUUAAAAAACCAUGGGCUUGGGUACCAAGAUAUUUCAGUUGAGAACUACAGACCAAUAU
rnacentral:lncRNA from 1 species